rnacentral:rRNA from 1 species
GACGAACGCUGGCGGCGUGCUUAACACAUGCAAGUCGAACGGAAAGGCCCUGCUUGCAGGGUACUCGAGUGGCGAACGGGUGAGUAACACGUGGGUGAUCUGCCCUGCACUUCGGGAUAAGCCUGGGAAGCUGGGUCUAAUACCGGAUAGGAGCCAUUUUUAGUGUGAUGGUUGGAAAGUUUUUUCGGUGUAGGAUGAGCUCGCGGCCUAUCAGCUUGUUGGUGGGGUAAUGGCCUACCAAGGCGGCGACGGGUAGCCGGCCUGAGAGGGUGGACGGCCACAUUGGGACUGAGAUACGGCCCAGACUCCUACGGGAGGCAGCAGUGGGGAAUAUUGCACAAUGGGCGCAAGCCUGAUGCAGCGACGCCGCGGGGGGGAUGACGGCCUUCGGGUUGUAAACUCCUUUCGCUAGGGACGAAGCUUUUUGUGACGGUACCUAGAUAAGAAGCACCGGCUAACUACGUG